rnacentral:rRNA from 1 species
GACGAACCGAGCGAACGUUGUUCGGAAUCACUGGGCUUAAAGGGCGCGUAGGCGGGUGCUCAAGUCCGUGGUGAAAUCCUCCGGCUCAACCGGAGAACUGCCUCGGAUACUGGGUGCCUCGAGGGUGGUAGGGGUAUGCGGAACUAUCGGUGGAGCGGUGAAAUGCGUUGAUAUCGAUAGGAACUCCGGUGGCGAAGGCGGCAUACUGGACCACCUCUGACGCUGAGGCGCGAAAGCCUGGGGAGCAAACGGG